rnacentral:lncRNA from 1 species
UUCGUUCUCUCUGAAGGGAAGAGUGCAGAAAAUGGGGCUCUUCUACUUCCGAGUCUUCUCUCUUGCGGCGAUUUAGAGGUUGCGUCACGGAGACGCAGCUCAGCUCCUCUAUAAAAGCGCUGAGACUCUCUUUCCUCCUUCCGCCUCUGCCGUAUCCUGAUCCGGUAAGGUUUUCUUUUUGAUUGCCCAUCAGAUCUGGUCCCGCUCCGAUCUUCUAGAGAUUGGAGGCGGUCUUCAUUCUCUCUGAACGGAAGAGUGCAGAAAAUAGGGCUCUUCUACUUCCGAGUCUUCUCUCUUGCGGCGAUUUAGAGGUUGCGUCACGGAGACGCAGCUCAGCUCCUCUAUAAAAGCGCUGAGACUCUCUUUCCUCCUUCCGCCUCUGCCGUCUCCUGAUCCGGCCGAAAAUGCUAAAUUACCCUCAGCCUGCUGUGUAAUUGUCUCAGUAUUACUCUUUUGGGCUCUUACAAAGCAAUGGAUCCAAAUGUUGCACGAGCUGUUGAGUAAUUUCCAACUGGUUUUGGUGAUUUGCUUUUAUUAGUUGAGAUAAAAAAAAAUAAAACGAAUUAUUAAUUUGGUUUCGGCAUUAUAAAAAAAAAAAAUUGUAUUUGAAAAAUAUUUAUGUAGUUAGACGAGCAAAGAAGAAAAAUGUUUUUGAUGAUAGUUAAAUUCAAAAUUUAAAAUAAAAAAUCACACUCAAUACAUCUUGGUGCUGGAUUCAAAUAUUUUCUUUCGAAAAAAGAAACUUACGUACGUGUAUUAAUAUCGGUGCCUGUGCGCAUUUUCAAAAUUUUCACGAGUCUGCUGGAUUCAAAUAAUGUAUCGUUCUUGUUUCUCUCACGCUUUUUGGUUGUAUUUGAGCAAUAAUUUGUCAGAGGCAGCAAGCCAGAUCUGGAAAUAUGGCAAGUUUUUAGAAAUUGGUGCUGCGCGUUUAAUCAUCUUUAACCAACAAGACCUUAUGCUGGUUUUCAGGUAAUUCUCUUUUGUUUCGCUCCCUUUCAAUCUUCUUUAAGAUCUCAGAAUGGAAGUCCCCAGCUUCCUAUCUCUUAGUCUCCUCUUAAACCUGAAGGUCAUUAUUUUUGGCCCGUCCAACAGUUCUGUUGCAGUCAAGAGAAAGGUUUCCAGGAUAUGCUUGAGAUGCUUGCCUCGUACAAGGAGGGGGUGUGUACCAUGUGGGAACCGUGUUCCCAUAAUCUUGAUUCUGUCCGGUUCCAUCCAAAGUGCAUAAAGAAACCUAGUUCCCACGCUGGAAACUGAUAACAGUGCUCGGUAUUUUAUGUUUAUUACCAGUUAUUGUUAAUUUAUUGCGUGACUUUCAUGGGAGUUGCAUAAAUAUGUCUUGAUCCCUUUUCUUGUUCUUUGAUUUACCUGGACCAUAUUCUGAAAAUAUUGUAAUCGUCGCUCGGUAAGGUUAUGGAUUGCUGGUUCAAGAGGUUUGCAAUAUCUAUUUUCACUCGUAUCACUUGGUGCUGGAUUCAUAUGUUUUUCUUCUGUAAUAAAAAGUUACGUAUGUGUAUUAAUACUGGUACCGAGGGGGCACUGCGCACUUACAAAAUUUUUACAAGUCCGCUGGAUUAAAAUAAUGUGACGUGCUUUGUUCCUCUCGGCGCUCUUUGCUUGUAUUUGAGCAAUCAUUUGUUAGAAGCAGCAGGCCAGAUCUGAAAAUAUGGCAAGUUUUUAGAAAUUGAUGCUGCGCCUUUUAGUUGCCAACACGUUCUUAUGUUGGUUUUCAGGUAAUUCUCUUUUGUUUCACUCCCUUUUAUUCGUCUUUAAGAUCUCGGAAUGGAAGUCCUCAGCUUCCUUGUCCCCCACAUCUUUGAGUCUCAUCUUAAAGCUGAAGGUCAUUAUUUUUGGCCUGUCCAGCAGUUUUGUUGUGGUUGAGAGAAAGGUUUAAAGGAUGCAUGAGAUGCUUGCCUCGUACAAGGGUGUCUAUUAUGUGGGAACCGUGUUCCCAAAAUCUUGAUUCCGUCUGGUCCAUAGUCCCUGCAAAGUCAUUCCAUCCAAAGUGCAUAAAGAAACAUAGUUCCCACGUUGGAAACUAAUAAUGUUGUUCCGUACGACGUUUGUUACCAGUUUAUUUUUUGUUUGAUGUUCGCGGGAGUUGUAUCAGUAUGUCUUGAUCCCUUUUCUUGUUUUUUGAUUUACAGGGACCAUAUUCUGACAAUAUUAUAACGCUCGCUCGGUAAGGGUGUGGAUUGCUGGUUCGAGAGGUACGCGACAUCUCUAUUUACACUCGUAUCACUUGGUGCUGGAUUCAAAUAUUUCUCUUUGGAAGUAAAAGUUACGUAUUUGUUUAAUGUUGGUACCAAAGGGGUACUGCUGCGCAUUACAAAAAUUUCUACAAGUCUGCUAGAUUCAAAUAAUAUUUCUCUCACGCUUUUUGGUUGUAUUUGAGCAAUAAUUUGUCAGAGGCGGCAGGCCAGCCAGAUCGGGAAAUAUGGCAACUUUUUAGAAAUUGAUGCUGCGCGUUUACUUUACCAACAAGUUCUUAUGUUGGUUUUCAGGUAAUUCUCUUCCGCCCCGCUCCCUUUUAAUCAUCUUUAAUAUCUCAGCAUGGAAGUCCUCAGCUUCCUUGCCCCCCGGGCCCCACUUCUUUUAGUCUGCUCUUAAAGCUGGAGGUCAUUUUUUUUUGACGUUUGUUGUAGUCAAGAGAAAGGUUUCUAGGAUGCAUGAGAUGCUUGCCUCGUACUAGGGUGUCUUUUAUGUGGGAACCAUGUUCCCGUAAUCUUGGUUCUGUCUAUGGUUCGUAGUCCCAUAUGAACGAGGAUGCUGUGUUCUCGGGAUUUUUAUCUGAUGCGAGAAAGGUCGUCAUUCUUUAUUUCGAAGCCACAUUAGAUUGAUUUUGUGUCCCGGUAAAAGUGCCCUACUUUAUUUUAUUGAAAGUGAGAGUAAAUUGAUUUAUUGUUUCAAAAUAAAUUUGCGUCCGUGUUUAAUGGAAAAUUUUACGAUUUCUUCGGAGAAAGUAGAAUUCCCCAUGUCCUUCGGGUAGUUGGAACUUAAAAAGAAUGUGCUUGGAUCUUCUAACAGCAAGUAAAUAUUUUUGGGCAUUGUUUUAAGGUUCUUGCUUCCUUUGGUAGAAAAUAAUUUUUUAUGGUGUUCCGGUCCUGAAUUAUUGCUCAGAAACUGAAAGCAUGUUUUGUAAAUCUUUUAAAAAAUAAAUGAGCUUGAUGAACAAGAAAAUUUCCCAUUCUUGAGAAAACAAAAAAUGUUCCCUGUUCCCCCGGGUAGCACCAACUGUGAGAAAAUGUGUCUUGAGCAUUUUGAUUCCUAGUAAAUAUGUUUUAUGUGUGUCGCUUCUGCAGUGAAAGCUAUCGUGAUGGGCACCCUUUCUCUCUUAGACGUUGCAAUUGGAUUUUCUAGUAUUUGAUAACCAUUUACAAAAGAUAUGUAUGCUCGGUUUUGGGAACUUUCAGAUUUAGUUUAUUGGAGAAAUGUUGUUGGUAUGUGUUUUGAAGCUUCAUUCAUGAAAUAUAGCCGGUGAAGGAUCAUUGUGGGCCGGGUCUCUUGAGUAGAAAACAGUAUUUGUGCAGCCCUUGCAUGCACAAUGAAUGUUUUAUCUGAGAUUCUCGGUCCAAAAUGUAAGAGCUUCAAUUCCAUAUUAACUACAUUUCAGUCCCAAAAUACUAGGGAAGCCAAUAUUUCAUUUUGAAAGUUAAAGGGUGUUGAUAUGUGUUUUGAAGCUUCAUUCAUGAAAUAUAGCCGGUGAAGGAUCACUGUUGGCCGGGUCUCUUGAGUAGAAAACAGUAUUUGUGCAGCCCCUGCAUUCACAAUGAAUGUUUUAUUUGAGAUUCUCGGUCCAAAAUGUAAGAGCUUCAAUUCCAUAGUAACUACCUUUUCAGUCCCAAAAUACCAGGAAAGCCAAUAUUUCAUUUUGAAAGUUAAAGGUUGUUGCUGUGUGUUUUGAAGCUUCAUUUAUGAAAUAUAGUUGGUGAAGGAUCAAAAUUGGCCGGGUCUCUUUGAGUAGAAAACAUUAUUUGUGCAGCCCUUGCAUUCACAAUGAAUGUUUUAUUUGAGAUUCUGGGUCCAAAAUGUAAGAGGUUCAAUUCCAUAUUAACUACCCUUUAGUCCUAGGAAAGGCAAUAUUUCAUUUUGAAAGUGGAAGUUUUUGUCGAUAUUUCAAAACAAACUUAUGUGCCUCGGUGCAUGAGAACGUGAAUCUUGAUUUUUUGUGGCAAAAUGAAACUGCUUGCAACCCUCAAGAUGUACAGCCUCAAAAAGAUGUGGCUUAAAAUCUCAAGCCAAAGUUUGGGUGCGUCGGUUUGAAAGUGAGAGUUUCUUUGAUCACGCACUUUCUUUUGGAGAGUUAGGCGACGUUUCACUUAGUGGUGGCAAUAUGCUCUCCCAAUCUAUUUUUAGCGCGGACAGAAAAAGUUUCGUGCUAGGUUAUGGGAAUCGUCAUUAUACGUGGAAGAGGUUGCCGUUCUUUAUUUUGAAGCCACAUCGAUAAUCUAGUUGCAGCGUUUUUCCUCUGUAGAGGUGCCCCGAUUCGAUAUUUUGAAACCGACACUGUAUUUACUGAUUCUUUUAAAAUAAGUGUGCCCCUCGGUAUUCAAGCAGAAGUUUCUCUGUUUUUUGGGGAAGAGUAAAAUUGCUCUGUUCUCUUGGUUGGUUGGAACAUAGAAAGCAAUAUGUUUGGAUCUUUUGAUUGCAAGUAAAUAUUUUUUCGGCACGUGGUUUUAAAGCUUUUUGGCUUUUGUUAAAGAAUAGUUUUUUUAAAAAAAUAUAUAUACAAAAGAAUAGUUUCCUGUUUUGGAAGUUUCCUGGUUUGGGAAGUAAAGGAGACUCAAUUUAUACUUUAAAACCUAAAAGCUGUUUUUAUGCAUUAUUUAUGGAUAAAUGUGUGACUUGAUGCACAAGAAAAUGAAUUUUGAUUUCUUGGGGCAAUGUAAAUCUGCUUGGGUCCCUCUCGCAGUUCCAAGUUUUAGAAAAACUUGCAUUGACAAAGAUUCGAGGAUAUUGUGACAGCACCACUUCUGACACGGUAACUUGCUUUCAAUAUUUAGUUUACGUAAGGCAUACGAGAUGUGUUUUGAAGGUUUUGAAACCCAUGGUCUGUUGCUGCGAAAAUAUAUCAUUCGGAGUCCCGUAUUCAGAAAGUAAAAGGCCUCGAUUAAUCUUUUCGAAAGCUAGCCUGUCCAUUUAUUUUUUGAAAACGAUUUUUUUUGUUGGUCCCCUGAGCAAAUGUUCCUCAAUUUUUUGGGGCAAUGUGAGAUUUUGCAAAAUGUCCCUUGGAUAAUUCUUUCUCUAGCAAAAUGUCCCUUGAUCUUUUAGUUGGAAGUAACUAUUCUUUGCUAUGUUGGUUUAAUUAAAGUUUCUCUUGAUCUUUUGCUUUCGAAAUAAAUCUGCAGGUGUCCCCACAGGGAAAUUGUAGCAGUUGGAAAAGUAAGUGGAGGUCAAGUAAUUUUUUUAGAAACUGAAGGCGUGUUCUAUCGAUUAUUUUGAAAGAUAAGUGUGCCUUGGUGCAAAAGAAAAUGACUUUGGAUUUGCUGCAGCAAAGCAAAACUUUUUUGAUGCCCUGGGUUUUCGGAACUCUAAAAGUUGUGGUUUGGACUCUUGAUUCAAAGUAAGUGUUUUUGAGAAUACGUUGGUUUAAAGGAAAAGUAACUCUGAUAACAAACACCCUUUCUCUUGGAGAGUUGGCAGCCUUUCUCUACGUAACUGGCAGUGUGCUUUCUCAAUCAUUUUAUUGCUACGGGCGUAAGACAUGAUUGCUCGGUUAAAGGAGAUAUUCAUUUUAUUUGAGAAAGGCCUUCGUUCUUGAUUUGGAAGCCAAUUUGAUGAACUUCAGUAAAAGUGGGCGAAUUCUUUUUCUCGCAAAUGAGAGUGCUUUGGUUUAUUGUUUCAAAAUAAAUGUACUUUGACUCCUAGGCAACGGGUUUUUAAAUUUCCUUGGAAAAAGUAAAAUUCAUCCCGUUGCUCGGCCAGUUGGAGCUCAAAAAAAGCAUGCAUGUAUGCUGAAUUUGUCUUGGUUUUAAUCAUUGUUCUAAUGUAGGUCUUCAAAAAAUUGACCGAGAAAACUAUUUGAGAGAGCUAAACCAUCGAAGUCUAUCGGACCCAAAGUGUAGUAGUCUUACCAAACUUCAGAUCUUGUGGGAUCUUUUCUCUGUUUACUUUUUUUUUUUUUUUUUAAAGCAAUAUCUGUGGUUAAAAGAGAUUGGUAUGUUUAACAUGCAAGGCAACUACGGAGCCUGGCGUAACCGCGUCAAUAUUAUGUUGCUGACUUUUCUUUGCUGUAGGUACGUAGCGGGAAACUUGUUUAAGCGGAAAGAACGGAGUUUGUUCCAGUGGCUAUCUACACGAACAACGUGUGCUACGCGGAAUGUGAGUAUUAUGUUACCCUGGAUUGUCUUGAAAAUAUUUCUCUCGCUGCUACUUUGUUUAAGAAACAUUUGUAGUUAUACAAAAUUAACGUUUAGAACAUGCCAGACGGUUAAAAAGCUACAGAUAACAGGGUAUGCUAAUUUUGCCACCUUUUCCUUGGUGCAGCAAAUUGGAGCGAGGGUGAAGCCUUCCUAAGUGUAGAGCUACAGAUUGAAGGUUUUUGGACCCUACUUUAUUUAAUUUAAUAGUGGAACUUAUCUUUCUUGGAAAAUAGUAAAAGAGGCAAUCGGUCCUGCUUUGUUGUUGUUUACUAGAGACGUGUUAUUGAAAGGAACAAAUGAGGUUUCUUCCCGUUGCUGGUUAUGCAGGCGACGAGUGCGGCUGCGUGGCUUCUGAGUGUGAUUUUACUCCGUGUACAUCAUCAGGAAUGGAGUUUUUACUCUUACCGAGUUUUAUUUUAUAGGGUUGUCGUCCCGUAUUUGUAUCUGCAAUUUGUGUAGUGUUGGAACGGAAGUUUAUGGCUUGAACUUCCAUUUUGGUGGAUUUUCGUCUUGGGAAAUAAGUCAUUUAGCGUGGUCCAAUUCCAGUGGAGUUCAUGGCAACCACGUUGGCUCUUAAUAAGCGGACUGAUCCAGUGAAUAUCCUGCAAAUUUUGUGCAUGACUAGGGAUCUUUUGUUGAUAAAUAGAUCUCGGGGCGGUUGGGCGGCCGUUCAUCAAAACUAAUUUUACCAAACUAGUAGAAUUCUUGUCGUAGUUUAGAUUAUUGGAAUUUUUUUUCCGUUUUUGAUGUUUUAUUUUUGUCUGUUGUCCUUCAUUGCGUGUUAAGCAUUUGUCCUUUAUAUUACUCUACUCGAUUUUAGCUUUUUCAUUUGAUAAUUUUGUUCGCAUGAUCUGAUGCUGGAAUCAGGUUUCAGGUGUUCUGCAUGUCACGUCUGAUUUGUUAAUAUUUUUCAUCUCAUUAGGUAAUUAUCAUAUCGGCAUUGGUAGGUGAUAUUACUCUGCUCAAUUUUAAAUUUUAUUAUUUUGAUAAUUUCGUUCACAUGUGCUGAUGUUACAAUCACGUUUCAGGUUUUCCGCUUGCUAGCCAUUUUGUCAUAAUUUGGUCCCAUGACCUGUUAUAUAAAUUCUGAUUUAUCCUUUCAAAUGGUGCUUUUUCUCACAGCUAAAAUCCUCUCAAAGAUGAGUUCCCGUUUAAUAAUCCAUUGGUCAAGGUCGGUAAGAGAAAUUCAACCGUAGAGAUGUGUGGAGAAGUGUAUCGCAUAGCUCCAGUUACUCUUACUCAACAGCAGCAAGCUUUCCAUCAGAAAAGGAGAUCUAGAGCAUACCAGGGGAAGGGACCAACUGUGUUCCUUAAGGACGCGGAUUCCAUACCUCCUGAUGUAGACCCCAAUACAACCAGAUGGAUUCCAGCCAAUCAUUUUUUUGCAACCACUGCAGCUGACAUUGAUUAGACCUGGCACAAAACAAUAUGUAUCAGGAGCAUGGUGUUCCAUUUCGUAUUCAGGCUGAGCAUGAGGCAGUAGAGAGGAAGCUUGAAGCGGCUUGAAUGGCAUGCAUGGUAACAGAGAGUAACUUUUCACUAUAAAAUGCCCUAUAUAACCAUAUACAUUCUUCACUGAAGUUGCAUCCUACUGAAUAACUUACAGUAAAUCCUGUAGAAGGUCGGAAGCCUAACCCAUAAUGAACUAAUAGUGAAAGCACCAGCGGGCUAGUCAGUUUGGGCAUAAACCUAAAAUUGAGUUUCUCUACUUGCAUUAUCUCUUAUCAAAAUAUUAAUCCUGUAGUUUCAGGUGCUAAAGAUACUUGCAAUUAUGGAAGUAGAAAUCAUACUGGUAAACCUAUGAUGCGCCCUUGACUUUCGAUUCUAAGGCCUUGUUUUACCAGGACGGAUUUGAACCUUUCUUUGUUUUUUUUUUUUGACAAUUUUGGAGGUGGGUUCUGGAUGUUUGCUCAUAUGAAAAUAUGAAAUUGAUUUACCAGAUCAACACCAUAUAACAGAAUUUACGCUAUCCGAACUUUAUUCUGGGUUAUUCUAUUGCUUUUAAGUUAUUAAGGUCUGAAAUAUAUAUAUAUUAAAGUAAUUUCUUUAUGUGUGUCAGCUUUUUUAUUUAGGAGCGAAAGUUUAUUGGAGUUAUAUUUACUCAAAUUUUGUCCCAUUAAUAAUGAUAACUACUUAUGACACGUUACUCAGAAAAAAUUAUUUGUUGUUGUUUUUUGCAUGGAGAAAAAUUCAAUGACCCUUUCUUGUAUGACACCUUUAGCACUCAUUCCUAUUCAACAAUGCUCUAUGCAAAGGUAUUCUUGUAUGACACCUUUAGCACUCAUCGAUACCUGCGGUAAAGUACAAAGAAAAUAAAAGAAAAACGGCCCGCAAACUGUUUCAACCACUCAUUCUUGACAGCUGCAGCUUGUCUAGCGCCAACAACAAAGAACUCUGUAAUGACUUCGAGAGGCAUGCCUUUGGUUUCUGGGACUUUCAGGAACACAAAGAUCCAAGAGAUGAAGCACACAAUCGAAUAUAUGCUGAAGACGCUUGCUAAGCGUUUUGAAUUGAUCAUUACAGGCAGAGCGUAUGUCACAAUAAUGUUGCCGACCCAAAAAACCGUGGCACAGAUAGUAAUGCAAAUGCCACACCCUUGUAGGGAAGAUCACAGUGCAGAGGAUAUUUGGAAUUGGCCCAUAUGCCAUGACGAGGCCGCAGAUGUGUGAUACACAAGCUGAUGGCGUUGCUGCAUUUAUAACUGUGCUCAACUUCACUAGUGGGCCAAUAACUAGAAUGAUUAGUGACACUAUUAGUGCAGGAAUUGUCGCAAGUAGCAGCCGCCUGGCAAUGAAGGAUGUGUGAGUUAAAGAGAAAGUAAAAUAUUAUGAGCAAAUGCAUCUUGGGAGACACUGUAUAUGCUAUAUUUAUCUGUUGCUAUUGGGGAAACCAAGGCUCUUGGUCCACCUGAUGGCCACAAGCCUCUGAGAUUUUUUUAGUGAUUUGAUCAAUUAAGAGCUAUUUUGCUUUUGCAUGCAGAUUUUCAAGUACGGGAAUGCAGGAAACUCCAAGAACAAAAAUAGAUAAGCAUAAAAGAAAAAUAGGGGUUGGAGUUUGCUUCUUUUGCUAGUAAAUCAUGGUACCAAUAGAAAAGGCAGCUGUCAAUGCUAAAAUGUGUAAUCUUGCCACUAUUAUUCAUCACAAAUUCUAUUCGCAUGUCUAGAAAAUUUUUUUGGUCAGAUCGAUGCACAUUUCUAAUAAACAUGUCCUGGAUUUUGUUAUGUUUUCCUUUUUCUUAAGCUUUGUUGCAGCUGUCAUGGCAAUUAUUCGGGACCAUUAACUAGUAAUUCAGGUAACUUCAUUGCAACGGCGUGGCAAUUGAGGUGUUUGGUUCAUAUAUUAAAUUAUAUUUUUUGUUAUUAAAGCUGGUCUAAUAUGACUAAAACACAUCUUGAAAUUUUUUAUUUAAAAUUUAUGAGAAUUUAAAAAUUAUUUUAGAAAAUAUUAUAUAUUAAUUUUCAGUUUUAUUUGUUAAUAAAAAAAAUAACAGUAAUAUAAUUAUAUUAUAUAUAUUUGAUGGCUUUUUUUAAUCCUAUUUAUGACUUUUUCUUUUUUACUAUAAAGGGGAUUGUUUAAAAGAGUGAAGCUCGGAAAAUGCAGCCGACCCCUCAUCUCUUAUCCUUAUUAUAUAACAGAAGCUGAUGACUUCGUCGCCUAAUUCUAGGUACGUAAAUUUUGUCAAUCGAAGCGGAAGCCUGCUAUGCUGUUAAUGCUGCUAUCUAUUCUCUUUUGUAUGGUUGUUGUUUUGUUUUGAUUCCUGUCAUAUGUUUUUUAGAUCAAUACCACUGUAUGUGAUUUUUUUUUUUCUUUUUCUUUGUCGGAGUUCUCAUCAUUUUGUUUUUUUUUUUUGUAUUAUUGAGAUGAAAUUGUUAGUUUGAAUCCUGAUAGCUCAAGAGUGCUGUUUAGUUUUUUGCGCACCGGCAGGCUUGUCACUUCUUCUGUUGAAGUUGGCAUAAUGGCUGAUCUAAUGUGGUAGGCUAUGUGGUUUUACACAAGUUAACAUGCAGCACCUGUAGAAGGUAAUCUCUUCACUGGAAAUGUUGAGAACUUAGUUAAUCCAUUUGUUGAUUUGCAUGACUUUGUUCAAUGAGUUUAGUCAAAGAUGCAAAUGGAAGGUUCUUAAAUGAUUUUUUUUUAUUUAGUUGUUGUGGUACAUUAGGUAAUGACUGUAUAGAUUUAUGUUAGAUACAUUUCUUCGACUAUAGUGAAACAGAGAAAACGAACGACCAUUAUUAGUAACUGCUUGGAAUUCAGUUGCUGAUCUAAUUAAUGUUAGCUAUUUACUGAGAGGAUUUUUUUUGUUUUUGUAAUCAAAGAGAAACUUACUUCAUUUAUUGUGACCCAUUUCUUGCUGUCACAUUCAAUUAUAUUCUUUUAGCAUUUUUGAAAUUUUCGAAUUUGCGUUGGUUUUCUUCUUCUUUUUUCUUGUAUUUGUUAUAGGGGCGGAGGGGGACAGAAGAGGGUUUUAUCUCUGCUAUGCUGGUAAGAUUUUUCUUCAUUCUGUUAUUUUUUUUACUCGAGGCUUCUGAAAAUUAAAACCACAAAAAAAAAUUAAGAAAAGAAAAAAAAAAAAAAAACCGAACAAAGAAAAGGGCAAUUAAAUUGCCAGGAAACAAUUUUUCAGGUACCUGGGGUGUGGAAGGAGGGAGCCCAGGGGAAUAAAUUUGCUGGGAUAUACACACGUCAUGCAGAAAAUCAGCACUUUGUUUGGGUGCAGCAGUGAUGGACCUGGGUGCUCUACGCAAGCCCACCAGCACACUCACCAGUGAGCGCGUACAUAAUGCAUUGUGCCCCCGUGCAUUUGCCCCGUCGCUGUUUCAAGCCAUUAUGCCUCAGAUGACAUCAAAAAAGUAAUUUCAACCUCAUCUGAUAUUUUUGUUAUGUAGGACAAAUAAUGUUGAUUUGUUUAAUCAGGGAUUUAGAAAUAAAAUGAGACAUCGCACCUAGAGUUUUUUAAACAUCAUAUUUAAGACGUUUUAAGAAUCACACUUAAGUGUUCGAUUGUAUUAUUUUCUUUAAAUAUCUUUUUCUAACUAGAGAUAGAUUAGAAAAUAAUAAAUUAAUAAAAUUAAAAAUAUUAAUCUUAAUAAAAAUGAGAAAUUAACACUAAUAAUGUUAGAAAUCCUAAUAAGAAUAAAAAUCUCAAGUUACUAAAAUUAAAAUAAUAUUCUUAAAUAAUAAUUAAUUAUAAUUUUUAAUUUUUUAAAUUACGUUUUUUACUCUUCACGCUUGGUGAAUUUUAAAUUAAAGCAUAUGCCCUUUAUAAUUUUAUUCACAUGCGCUGAUGUUGGAAUCAGGUUUCAGGCGUUCUUCAUGUCAAGUCUGAUUUGUUAAUAUUAUGUAAUCAUUGUAUCCGCGUUGGUGGAAGUUAUAUUACUCUGCCCAGUUUUAGUUUUUAUCAUUUUGAUAAUUUUGUUCACAUGUGCUGAUGUUAAAGUUACGUUUCAGGAUUCCUGUGACCUGUCAUAUGAAUGAUAAAGGGCAUAUGCUUGAAGCAGCACAAAAUGUAAGCAGCUUGAAUGACAUGCAUGGUAACAGAGUAAUUUUUCACUAUAAAAUGUUCCAAAUAACCAUAUAUUCUUCAGUGAAGUUGCAUCCUUACUGAACAACUUACAAUAAAUCCCGCAGAAUGUUGGAAGCCUCACCCAUAACGAACUAAUAACGAAAGCACUAGCAGGCUAGUCAGUUCGGGCAUAAACCUAAAUUUGAGUUCCUCUCCUCGCAUUAUCUCUUAUCAAAAGAUUAAACAUGUAGUUUCAGGUUCCUAAGAUACUUGCAAUUAUGGAAGUAGAAACCAUGUUGGUAAACCUAUGAUGUGUCCUUAACUUUUGAUUCUAAGGACCUGUUUUACCAGGAAGGAACUAAACAUUUCUUCUUUUUUUAUGGGUUCUAGAUGUUUGCUAUUGAUUUACCAUAUCAACACUACAUAGCAUAAUUUAUGAUAUCUGAACUUUAUUCUGCAUUGAUCUAUUGCUUAUGAGGUAUUCGUGUCUGAAAUAUAUAUGUUAAAGCAAUUACAUGUCUAGAAAAUUUCUUUGGUCAGAUUGAUGCACAUUUCCACUAAACAUGUCCUGGAUUUUGUUCUGGUUUCCUUUUUCUCAAGCUUUGUUGCAGCUGCCAUGGCAAUUACGCAAGACCAUUCAACUAGUAAUUCAGGUAACCCCGUUGCAACAGUUGUGGUAAUUGAGGUGUUUGCCUCAUAUAUUAAAUUAUGUUUUCUGCUCUUCACACAUGCUGAGAUAUGAAUUUAAGCUGGUCUAAUAAGGCUAAGCGCAUCUUGAAACUAUUAAGCCUUAUCUUCACUGAAAUCUAGUGGAGACUUUUCAUCAAAACUAAUUUUACCAAACUAAUAGAAUUCUCGUCCUAGUUGACAUUAUUUUGGAUUUUUUUUCCCUUUUUUCUUUCCUGAUUUCUUAUUUUCAUCUGUUGUCCUUCGUUGCAUGUUAAUCAUAUGUUCUUUCCCUUCUGCACCUCCCCUAUUCAGCCUGAUCCAAUCAUCCUGUCACCAUAAAGAUUUAAGAUAAACCAAAUGUGAGCAAAAACAUCUUUACCUUUUCUUUUAUUUUUAAAAAUUUUUCUUCCUAAAAAGUUACAAGGAUUAUUGAACUAAACAGAUUAUUGGUCAAACUUUUACAUAUUUCUUCUUAGUUGGUAGGUUUUUCUUUUUUUUUUUUGAAAAAAAAAUAUUACAUAUAGUUUUUUUACUGAUUGAUGAUCAAUCAAUAUUGCCUCUUUAAUGGUUGAAAUUUGCAGUGGGUUACAUAUUUAUCUUUUUGUUCAUGUUCUUUCCUAAUUCGUUAAUUUCUUUGAAAAUAUAUAAUGACUGCAUAUUUUUAGGAUGUAUUACUCUAUAUUUAUGUGAUUUAUUAAUUCGUAUUUUUAUAAUUUUUUACUAUUUAUUUUUAGGAGUGUUUGUUGAUUGUAUAGUAAUUCGAAAGUAUGUAUUUUAUUACAAAAGAAAAAUAAUAUUAACAGAAAAUAAAUAAGAAUUAAUUAAAAAUGUUAUGCAAAUUUAAAUUUUAAAUCAAUGUAAAAAUAUUUGUUUUAUAGGUUUAUUAUUUUAUUUUAUGUAUAUAAGAUAACAAUAUUAGCUAAAAUAAUAUAUUUUAUUAUAAAAAUAGAAUAAUAUUGUCAGAGAACAAGUAUUAUUAAAUAGGAAAAUAUUAGUUAAUUUAUCGUAUAUAGAAUUAUAAAUAUAUUUUAAUUUAUAUAAUAAAAUUUUUAAGAUAAAUAUUGAUAUUUAAUAAGUAUUGUAAUAUUUAAAACAUUUUUAAAAAAUUUGUAGGUAAAUUAAAAUUAAAUUUUAUUUUCAAAUUUAAAAUGUUUAAAUAGGAAAUUUUUAUAAAAAUUAAAAUAUGGUAUUUAUUUUUAAUAAAAUAUUAAUACAUUAAUAUUAUUUUUAUAUUUAAAAUUUUUAAGAAUUUAAAAAUUAUUUUAUAUGUAUUAAUUUUAAGGUUAGUUAAUAAAAUAAAAUAAUAAGAAUAAUAUAAAUAGUUUAUAUCAUAUAUAUUGUACGAGACAGUUUUUAUUUUUUUUUUACGCUGUUUACAGUUUUUUUUUUAACGCUAAAAAAGACUUUAAAAGAGCUGGUUUACAAAAUCCGACCGAGCUCAUCCUCAAACCCGUUUCUGCAUAUGAUAUUCAGAGGCGGUGGACUAAUGAACCCUAAAACUUCAAAUUGAGAAAGUUGUUCAAUCCCAGGUACAUGAAUUUUGUCAACUGAAGCGGAUGACCGCUAUUCUUUUAACGCUGCUGCUAUAUAUUUUCCUUCGUGUUAUUGCUGUUUUGUUUUGAUUUCUGUCAUAUAUUUUCUUGAUCAAGACCCCACAGUAUUUGAGUAUUUUUUUUUCUUUCCCCUUAUUGGAGUUUUUAUUAUUUUGUUUUUUUGUUUUUUUUUGUAUUACAGAUAUGAAAUUGUUAGUUUAAAUUAUGAUGUUAUAUGAUAUAUUUUAUUAUAAAAAUAUUAUUAUUAUUGAGUGAAAAUAAAUUAAAAUGAAAUAAUUAUUAAAAAUAAAUGCUAUAAAAAUUUUAAAAUUGAAUAUUAAUAAAUAAGAAAAUAUUAGUUUUUAUUAGUUAAUUAUCUUAUUUUAUGUGUAUAAAUAAUUAUUUUUUUUUAACCUUUGAUGGUUAUCAUAUUUUCGUAUUCGUGAUUAACUUUAUCAAAUCUCUUUGCUCUUCUCCCAUUCUUUCUCUUUCUCGACCUUCUUUACUGAUACAUGUUGAGGGUACUUUUGCUGAAAAUUUCAAGUUUUCUAACUUCUCUCCUCCUCCUCUUCCUCUUUUCUCUCCUCUAAGAUUUAUUUUUUCAUCUCCUCUUUUGUUAAUCUUUUCUUAUUAGUUAUUUUAACAGGCAAUUUCCAAUGGAAGUCAAGACUGGGAAGAACAAAAUAUUUUGACGGUAUCUGUUUAUGCCUUAUUCUUCAUCACCAAGUUGUUUUGAAUUUUUAAUGCAACCUUAUUAACUAAUAUUGUAGGUUUUUUUUUUGCAAAUUUAUUAUUGAAAGUAGUUGCUACAAAUGUUUUAAUAGUUGGCAUUGAACCAAUAUUAAUAAAAGAAUCAAGAUACUAACCCUUAGAAUCAGUCAAGAAGCUUCUCAACGAGAACUAUACCUGCUUUGAGCUUAUCUUACUAGUAACUUUUUUAAACUCAAAUGUACGUGAGUACUCGUGCAUAACCAUCUUAACCAAGUCGAUCUUAUAUUCUUUUUGUAUUGUAUGUAUAAAUUUGAAGUUUUCAAUGUUACAAAACAGUAUUCUUCGCAAAUUCUAUACGCUAAAGAUGAUUGUGAAAUGGUAAAAUUAGUUUAUAGGUUAGUGGAUGAUGAAUUCUGUCAAACGGAUUGCUUGAAGGAGUCUCAUACUUUUCUCAUUUUAUUUGUGAUGUGUUAUUAUGUAAUUCUUUUAUUUUAGUUACAGAUAAAUAUUUUCUCAAGAGGUUUACCGUUUUAUGAUGUUGUUUUUGCAAGAGUUUUCUGCAAAAGUUCAAGAAGAAAUUAUGAUGAAAUGUAUUUUUUUUUAAUUGUUUUAGCUUAAAGUUGAUGUUUAAUAUCUACUUAAUACUGUUAAAAAAUUGUAUUUUUGCAUAUAUACUCUUUUCUUAAUAGACGUAGGUGAUGAAUUUGAUAUCUCAAUGGUGACAAAAACCAAGAUGAUCAAAGGGGUUUGAUUAAGAUCUAAUUGAAGGUAUGUGUGUCUUUUAUAUGAAAUUGUUUUUUUCUUUUCAUCUUUCUCUCAAGUUUUUUUCGGUCCUAAUAGGUGCUAUUAGGCUGUAAAUAAUCUCUAUAAAUGUGAAUAUUAUAAAUAGAUAAAUAAUAUUUUUUAAAAUAUUUUGAUAACAACUUUUGAUAUAAUUAGAUAAUAACUAUUUUUUCUCAAGUUAUGAUUAAAAAAUUUAUAUUAAUGUUAAGAUUUCUCAUACAUAAGUUUUUCUUAUAAAACUUUAAAUUCUCUAUGAAUUUUUACUUUAGUUUUGAUAAUAUUUAUUUUUGCACAACUCUAAAUAAAUUACAAGAAUAAAAAUUAUCAAGAAAGAAAAGUUUAUUAAUAAUAGCAAUAGAUAUAGGCGUUAGUAUAUUCAUGAAAAUAGUUUAUAUGUUUCUUGGAUCUAGUCUGAUUUGUUAAAAUUUUUCAUCCUCCUUAUAUAAUCUAUCAUGUCCGCAUUGGUAUAAAUUAUAUUACUCUACCCGAUUUUAGAUUUUUCAUUUGAUAAUUUUGUUCACAUGCGCUGAUGUUGGAAUCAGGUUUCAGGUGUUCUGCAUGCCAAGUCUGAUUUGUUAAUAUUUUCUAUCUCAUUAUUUAAUCAUCAUAUCCGCGUUGGUAGAAGUUAUGUUACUCUGCCCAAUUUUAGUUUGUAUCAUUUUGAUAAUUUUAACUCGGUUUGGCCCAGAUCAUUUUGGUUGUUCAUUCUUCGAUGUUGCUUUAGAUGUACAAACUCUAGUUUUCUGUUUAUUUUACAAGAAACUCAUGGAAAAACAAUUGCCCAUAUUGUGCUAUGUUAUAUUCUUCUCAUGAUGGUGGCAGCCUGCAGAUGUUCUGCAGUGGUCUUUCUGAAGAACAGGGCAUUUAAUUUAUUAAAGUAUCAUUAGUUAUGUCAUAAGGUAGAAAUUGUACUUCUCGCUUGUUUGAUCUGAAAAGGAUGUGAAUCAUACCAUUUUAUGUUUUAGGAAAUGUGCAGAAAUUGAAAAGUUGUAACUUGUGACCACUUGGUUUUCUACUUUGUUUCUCUGCUGUUAUAAAGUUGCAAAUGGUCUUGAAGCACACUUGAGAUACUCAUAGCUACAUCUUCUUAAAGCCCAUAUUUGGUUGUCUAGAUGUUUUUCCCCCAGGUAGUAUUGAAAAGAUGAUGGGCACAAUUCUCUAGCUCUGAUGCUAUUUAUUCAGUUUAGUAUGUGUAUUGUGUUGAUUUGGUUUGCCAAUUUUUUCUCUUUCCUGGACGGCACUGUCAUUAGGUAACUUAUUAUAUUUUUUCUUUGUUCCCUUGACCUUAAUCUACAUGCUUGAUUAAUGGCUGCACCAUUUUGUUCAAGUUAUUGUGAAAAAUAUUAAAAUUAUGCCUUGUUAAUUUAAUUGCAUGUUUCCCAGGAUAUUCCUUCCUUAGCUGCUGAUGCUGCAAAAAAGUAUCCCGGUGUAUCAUACAUCAUAACGGCUCCUCUUGGCUUGCACAAGCUCCUUGUGGUAUGAGAUUUUUCUUAUUUUUCUCUCAUGGUAUUUACAUUAAUCCUGCAAGACUUUUGGAGUCAUCACUGUACUUUCAACUUGUGCUUAGCUUUAUUUUUAGCUCUCCUUACCUGAUUGAUAUGUAGAUUAUUCACGAGUACAUGGGAUAUGACAAUACUAUUCAGUUAAUGCUAUUAAAUCAAAUUUUACCCCAUAUAUAUAUAUAUUAUAUAUAUAGGCACUAAAAUUCAUGCCCAGUUAACAGCAUUCUUAACAAAUGUACAAAAGUUUCCGAUUGACUGCAUUCUUAAUUUAAUUAAAACUAAAAUGAAAACUUUCAUCCUUAUUAUUAUUUAUUUUUACCAGCUUCCAAAAAUAUAUCACUCUUUUGCAGUGUUGUUCGCUGGUUUGAUCAAAUAGUUGUGAUCAAAAUUUUUAGUCUAGUUAUAACUACUUUUAAUUGAGAAUGCAAUCAGUUAGGAACUUAUAAACUUUCUUAUUAGGAGUGCAUAUUCCAAUUUCAAGAACACCAUCAAGUAGUAUUUCUAGGUAAUCAGACCUGUGAUUUUAUGAGAUAGACCUUGUCCUACUCGCACGUUGGACUAUGGCUUAUUUUAUCUUUUAAGAGCUCGAGAGAUCAGAAUGUGUCUGAUACCCAUAUGGCUCAUUAAGCAACAGAAGUUUCUGAUUCUCAAGGGAUAGAAUUUGUGAUGCCCUCUAUUUCCCAUUAGUAGUGUGCUAGGAUAGGCUAAAACGAGAUCAAGAAACAGAAGCAGCCAAUAUUUUUUGAGUAACACGGCAUUGAGCGACGCUACUCUGGCCAUGCUAAUUAGUUUUAUGUUUUGCAUUGAUCAUGUCCAUUUGUAAAUAAUUUCUCCAUUUUCUCACUCUCUACAGUUUUAGGUUGCAAGGUUAGUAAUGUGAUAAUUAGUUUCCUCAUUCUUUAUGGGUUUUGAACUGGUUUUUGAAAGUUUGCGUUUAACAGUUCUGUGUAAUUAGAGCAAUUAUUUGUUUUAAUUAUGUUUAAUGGGAUGAUCAAUAUUGUUGCAAGCAGAUCAGAUUCUCUUAUUGUAUUAUCGUUUCGAUAUUAGUUAAUUUGCUGAGUGACAUUCAUGGGACUUCUGUCGAUAAAACUUGAUCAUUUUUCUCAUCCUGGAAGUAUUAUAAUUUUCGUUCAAUUAGCAUAUAGUUUGCUUGCUGGAGAGGUAUGCAAUAUUUAUCUUUUGUGAGAAAGGUUGUCGUUCUUUAUUUUGAAGCCACAUCAGGAAAGUAGAUUUGAUUUUGUUCGUCGGUAAAAUUGCCUUAAUUUAUUUUCUUGCAAGUGAGAGGAAAUUGAUUUGAAAAAUGAUGCAGAGGAGGAGUUCGUGGUUUGUGGGAAGGCCUGUUGUUGGAGACUGGAACUGUCCUUUUUGCUGAGGUUCUUGGCAGAACCCUAACCGGUGAAACUGUACAGAUGCAUGGUGGAGCAGACAACUUGUCUGUGUGGAUUUGCCAGAGAAGGAAUAGAAAUUGAAAGGAAAUUUGGUGGUGCAAAAAAUCUGUAAGUAUUAUUUCUAAGGAUUAAGAGAAUAAAUAAUUUAAAAUUAGAUAACAGUUUAAAGAAUUUUAAUAGAAUAUAUUUGUACAUAUAAAUUUUUUUUAAUAAUACGCGUAUUAUUUAAUAAAUUUUUUAGAAAAAAGAAUUAUUAAAAAUUGUAUUGUAAUUAAGGGUGUUUGUUUUGUUGUGGUUUUUUAUUAUAAUAUUUGUAUUUAAAAAAAAUAUUUUUGUAGUUGGGUGAGUAAAAUAUAAAAUGUUUUUGAUAAUAGUUAAAUUGAAAAUUUAUUUUUUUAUAAAUUUAAAAUAAAAAAUUACAAAAGUUACAUGAAUUUUUAUUAAGAAUAAAUGUUAUUAUUAUUGUAUAAAUAAUAACAUAUUUUCACAAUUAUUUAUAAAAUUAUUUUUAAUGGAAAACUCAGUAAGGCAGUAAAAAAAAUAUUUAUCUUUUUAAUUUUCUCUCUCUGCCGCUCCUCAUCUUCGGUCUCUGGGUUUCCUUUUUUCUGCCCCUGAGGUUCCGCGUGUUUAUAAAGCACAGAGGUUGCGUCACGGAGACGCACCUCAGCUCCUCUAUAAAAGGGCUGAGACUCUCUUUCCUCCUUACGCAUCUGCUGUCUCCUGAUCCGGUAAGGUUUUCUUCUGAUUGCCCAUUAGAUCUGGUCCCGCUCCGAUCUUCUAGAGAUUGGAGGCGGUCUUCAUUCUCUCUGAACGGAAGAGUGCAUAAAAUAGGGCUCUUCUGCUUCCGAGUCUUCUCUCUUGUGGCGAUUUAGAGGUUGCGUCACGGAGACGCAGCUCAGCUCCUCUAUAAAAGCGCUGAGACUCUCUUCCCUCCUUCCGCCUCUGCCGUCUCCUGAUCCGGUAAGGUUUUGUUUUCGAUUGCCCAUUAGAUCUGGUCCCGCUCCGAUCUUCUAGAGAUUGGAGGCGGUCUUCAUUCUCUCUGAACAGAAGAGUGCAGAAAAUAGGGCUCUUCUACUUCUGAGUCUUCUCUUUCGCGGCGAUUUAGAGGUUGCGUCGCGGAGAGGCAGCUCAGCUCCUCUAUAAAAGCGCUGAGACUCUCUUUCCUCCUUCCGCCUCUUCUGUCUCCUGAUCCGGUAAGGUUUUCUUUCGAUUGCCCAUUAGAUCUGGUCCCGCUCCGAUCUUCUAGAGAUUGGAGGCGGUCUUCGUUCUCUCUGAAGGGAAGAGUGCAGAAAAUGGGGCUCUUCUACUUCCGAGUCUUCUCUCUUGCGGCGAUUUAGAGGUUGCGUCACGGAGACGCAGCUCAGCUCCUCUAUAAAAGCGCUGAGACUCUCUUUCCUCCUUCCGCCUCUGCCGUAUCCUGAUCCGGUAAGGUUUUCUUUUUGAUUGCCCAUCGGAUCUGGUCCCGCUCCGAUCUUCUAGAGAUUGAGGCGGUCUUCAUUCUCUCUGAACGGAAGAGUGCAGAAAAAGGGGCUCUUCUACUUCUGAGUCUUCUCUCUUGUGGCGAUUUAAAGGUUGCGUCACGGAGACGCACCUCAGCUCCUCUAUAAAAGCGCUGAGACUCUCUUUCCUCCUUCCGCCUCUGCCGUCUCCUGAUCCGGCCGAAAAUGCUAAAUUACCCUCAUCCUGCUGUAUAAUUGUCUCAGGAUUGCUCUGUUGGGCUCUUAUAAAGCAAUGGAUCCAAAUGUUGCACGAGCUGUUGAGUAAUUUCCAACUGGUUUUGGUGAUUUGCUUUUAUUAGUUGAGAUAAAAAAAUAAAACGAAUUAUUAAUUAUUAAUUUGGUUUCGGCAUUUAUAAAAAAAAAAAGUUUGUAUUUGAAAAAUAUUUUUGUAGUUAGACGAGCAAAGAAGAAAAAUGUUUUUGAUAAUAGUUAAAUUCAAAAUUUAAAAUAAAAAAUCACACUCAAUACAUCUUGGUGCUGGAUUCAAAUAUUUUCUUUCGAAAAAAGAAACUUACGUACGUGUAUUAAUAUCGGUGCCUGUGCGCAUUUACAAAAUUUUUACGAGUCUGCUAGAUUCAAAUAAUGUAUCGUUCUUGUUUCUCUCACGCUUUUUGGUUGUAUUUGAGCAAUAAUUUGUCAGAGGCAGCAAGCCAGAUCUGGAAAUAUGGCAAGUUUUUAGAAAUUGGUGCUGCGCGUUUAAUCAUCUUUAACCAACAAGAUCUUAUGCUGGUUUUCAGGUAAUUCUCUUUUGUUUCGCUCCCUUUCAAUCUUCUUUAAGAUCUCAGAAUGGAAGUCCCCAGCUUCCUAUCUCUUAGUCUCCUCUUAAACCUGAAGGUCAUUAUUUUUGGCCCGUCCAACAGUUAUGUUGCAGUCAAGAGAAAGGUUUCCAGGAUAUGCUUGAGAUGCUUGCCUCGUACAAGGAGGGGGUGUGUACCAUGUGGGAACCGUGUUCCCAUAAUCUUGAUUCUGUCCGGUUCCAUCCAAAGUGCAUAAAGAAACCUAGUUCCCACGCUGGAAACUGAUAACAGUGCUCGGUAUUUUAUGUUUAUUACCAGUUAUUGUUAAUUUAUUGCGCGACUUUCAUGGGAGUUGUAUCAAUAUGUCUUGAUCCCUUUUCUUGUUCUUUGAUUUACCGGGACCAUAUUCUGAAAAUAUUGUAAUCGUCGCUCGGUAAGGGUAUGGAUUGCUGGUUCAAGAGGUUUGCAAUAUCUAUUUACACUCGUAUCACUUGGUGCUGGAUUCAUAUGUUUUUCUUCUGUAUUAAAAAGUUACGUAUGUGUAUUAAUAUUGGUACCGAGGGGGCACUGCGCACUUACAAAAUUUUUACAAGUCCGCUGGAUUAAAAUAAUGUGACGUGCUUUGUUCCUCUCGGCGCUUUUUGCUUGUAUUUGAGCAAUCAUUUGUUAGAGGCAGCCAGGCCAGAUCUGAAAAUAUGGCAAGUUUUUAGAAAUUGAUGCUGCGCCUUUUAGUUGCCAACACGUUCUUAUGUUGGUUUUCAGGUAAUUCUCUUUUGUUUCACUCCCUUUUAUUCGUCUUUAAGAUCUCGGAAUGGAAGUCCUCAGCUUCCUUGUCCCCCGCAUCUUUGAGUCUCAUCUUAAAGCUGAAGGUCAUUAUUUUUGGCCUGUCCAGCAGUUUUGUUGUGGUUGAGAGAAAGGUUUAAAGGAUGCAUGAGAUGCUUGCCUCGUACAAGGGUGUCUAUUAUGUGGGAACCGUGUUCCCAAAAUCUUGAUUCCGUCUGGUCCAUAGUCCCUGCAAAGUCAUUCCAUCCAAAGUGCAUAAAGAAACAUAGUUCCCACGUUGGAAACUAAUAGUGUUGUUCCUUUCGACUUUUGUUACCAGUUUAUUUUUUGUUUGAUGUUCGCGGGAGUUGUAUCAGUAUGUCUUGAUCCCUUUUCUUGUUUUUUGAUUUACAGGGACCAUAUUCUGACAAUAUUAUAACGCUCGCUCGGUAAGGGUGUGGAUUGCUGGUUCGAGAGGUACGCGACAUCUCUAUUUACACUCGUAUCACUUGGUGCUGGAUUCAAAUAUUUCUCUUUGGAAGUAAAAGUUACGUAUUUUUUUAAUGUUGGUACCAAAGGGGUACUGCUGCGCAUUACAAAAAUUUCUACAAGUCUGCUAGAUUCAAAUAAUAUUUCUCUCACGCUUUUUGGUUGUAUUUGAGCAAUAAUUUGUCAGAGGCGGCAGGCCAGAUCGGGAAAUAUGGCAACUUUUUAGAAAUUGAUGCUGCGCGUUUACUUUACCAACAAGUUCUUAUGUUGGUUUUCAGGUAAUUCUCUUCCGCCCCGCUCCCUUUUAAUCAUCUUUAAUAUCUCAGCAUGGAAGUCCUCAGCUUCCUUGCCCCCCGGGCCCCACUUCUUUUAGUCUGCUCUUAAAGCUGGAGGUCAUUUUUUUUUGACGUUUGUUGUAGUCAAGAGAAAGGUUUCUAGGAUGCAUGAGAUGCUUGCCUCGUACUAGGGUGUCUUUUAUGUGGGAACCAUGUUCCCGUAAUCUUGGUUCUGUCUAUGGUUCGUAGUCCCAUAUGAACGAGGAUGCUGUGUUCUCGGGAUUUUUAUCUGAUGCGAGAAAGGUCGUCAUUCUUUAUUUCGAAGCCACAUUAGAUUGAUUUUGUGUCCCGGUAAAAGUGCCCUACUUUAUUUUAUUGAAAGUGAGAGUAAAUUGAUUUAUUGUUUCAAAAUAAAUUUGCGUCCGUGUUUAAUGGAAAAUUUUACGAUUUCUUCGGAGAAAGUAGAAUUCCCCAUGUCCUUCGGGUAGUUGGAACUUAAAAAGAAUGUGCUUGGAUCUUCUAACAGCAAGUAAAUAUUUUUGGGCAUUGUUUUAAGGUUCUUGCUUCCUUUGGUAGAAAAUAAUUUUUUAUGGUGUUCCGGUCCUGAAUUAUUGCUCAGAAACUGAAAGCAUGUUUUGUAAAUCUUUUAAAAAAUAAAUGAGCUUGAUGAACAAGAAAAUUUCCCAUUCUUGAGAAAACAAAAAAUGUUCCCUGGUCCCCCGGGUAGCACCAACUGUGAGAAAAUGUGUCUUGAGCAUUUUGAUUCCUAGUAAAUAUGUUUAUGUGUGUCGCUUCGGCAGUGAAAGCUAUCGUGAUGGGCACCCUUUCUCUCUUAGACGUUGCAAUUGGAUUUUCUAGUAUUUGAUAACCAUUUACAAAAGAUAUGUAUGCUCGGUUUUUGGAACUUUCAGAUGUAGUUUAUUGGAGAAAUGUUGUUGGUAUGUGUUUUGAAGCUUCAUUCAUGAAAUAUAGUUGGUGAAGGAUCAUUGUGGGCCGGGUCUCUUGAGUAGAAAACAUUAUUUCUGCAGCCCUUGCAUGCACGAUGAAUGUUUUAUCUGAGAUUCUCGGUCCAAAAUGUAAGAGCUUCAAUUCCAUAUUAACUACAUUUCAGUCCCAAAAUACUAGGGAAGCCAAUAUUUCAUUUUGAAAGUUAAAGGGUGUUGAUGUGUGUUUUGAAGCUUCAUACAUGAAAUAUAGCCGGUGAAGGAUCACUGUUGGCCGGGUCUCUUGAGUAGAAAACAGUAUUUGUGCAGCCCCUGCAUUCACAAUGAAUGUUUUAUUUGAGAUUCUCGGUCCAAAAUGUAAGAGCUUCAAUUCCAUAGUAACUACCUUUUCAGUCCCAAAAUACCAGGAAAGCCAAUAUUUCAUUUUGAAAGUUAAAGGUUGCUGAUGUGUGUUUUGAAGCUUCAUUUAUGAAAUAUAGUUGGUGAAGGAUCAUUAUUGGCCGGGUCUCUUGAGUAGAAAACAUUAUUUCUGCAGCCCGUGCAUUCGAAAUGAAUGCUCUAUUUGAGAUUCUCGGUCCAAAAUGUAAGAGCUUCAAUUCCAUAUUAACUUACUUUCAGGCCACAAAAAUCUAGGACAGGCAAUAUUUCAUUUUGAACGUUAAAGGUUGUUGCUGUGUGUUUUGAAGCUUCAUUUAUGAAAUAUAGUUGGUGAAGGAUCAAAAUUGGCCGGGUCUCUUUGAGUAGAAAACAUUAUUUGUGCAGCCCUUGCAUUCACAAUGAAUGUUUUAUUUGAGAUUCUGGGUCCAAAAUGUAAGAGGUUCAAUUCCAUAUUAACUACCCUUUAGUCCUAGGAAAGGCAAUAUUUCAUUUUGAAAGUGGAAGUUUUUGUCGAUAUUUCAAAACAAACUUAUGUGCCUCGGUGCAUGAGAACGUGAAUCUUGAUUUUUUGUGGCAAAAUGAAACUGCUUGCAACCCUCAAGAUGUACAGCCUCAAAAAGAUGUGGCUUAAAAUCUCAAGCCAAAGUUUGGGUGCGUCGGUUUGAAAGUGAGAGUUUCUUUGAUCACGCACUUUCUUUUGGAGAGUUAGGCGACGUUUCACUUAGUGGUGGCAAUAUGCUCUCCCAAUCUAUUUUUAGCGCGGACAGAAAAAGUUUCGUGCUAGGUUAUGGGAAUCGUCAUUAUACGUGGAAGAGGUUGCCGUUCUUUAUUUUGAAGCCACAUCGAUAAUCUAGUUGCAGCGUUUUUCCUCUGUAGAGGUGCCCCGAUUCGAUAUUUUGAAACCGACACUGUAUUUACUGAUUCUUUUAAAAUAAGUGUGCCCCUCGGUAUUCAAGCAGAAGUUUCUCUGUUUUUUGGGGAAGAGUAAAAUUGCUCUGUUCUCUUGGUUGGUUGGAACAUAGAAAGCAAUAUGUUUGGAUCUUUUGAUUGCAAGUAAAUAUUUUUUCGGCACGUGGUUUUAAAGCUUUUUGGCUUUUGUUAAAGAAUAGUUUUUUUAAAAAAAUAUAUAUACAAAAGAAUAGUUUCCUGUUUUGGAAGUUUCCUGGUUUGGGAAGUAAAUGAGACUCAAUUUAUACUUUAAAACCUAAAAGCUGUUUUUAUGCAUUAUUUAUGGAUAAAUGUGUGACUUGAUGCACAAGAAAAUGAAUUUUGAUUUCUUGGGGCAAUGUAAAUCUGCUUGGGUCUCUCUCGCAGUUCCAAGUUUUAGAAAAACUUGCAUUGACAAAGAUUUGAGGAUAUUGUGACAGCACCACUUCUGACACGGUAACUUGCUUUCAAUAUUUAGUUUACGUAAGGCAUACGAGAUGUGUUUUGAAGGUUUUGAAACCCAUGGUCUGUUGCUGCGAAAAUAUAUCAUUCGGAGUCCCGUAUUCAGAAAGUAAAAGGCCUCGAUUAAUCUUUUCGAAAGCUAGCCUGUCCAUUUAUUUUUUGAAAACGAUUUUUUUUGUUGGUCCCCUGAGCAAAUGUUCCUCAAUUUUUUGGGGCAAUGUGAGAUUUUGCAAAAUGUCCCUUGGAUAAUUCUUUCUCUAGCAAAAUGUCCCUUGAUCUUUUAGUUGGAAGUAACUAUUCUUUGCUAUGUUGGUUUAAUUAAAGUUUCUCUUGAUCUUUUGCUUUCGAAAUAAAUCUGCAGGUGUCCCCACAGGGAAAUUGUAGCAGUUGGAAAAGUAAGUGGAGGUCAAGUAAUUUUUUUAGAAACUGAAGGCGUGUUCUAUCGAUUAUUUUGAAAGAUAAGUGUGCCUUGGUGCAAAAGAAAAUGACUUUGGAUUUGCUGCAGCAAAGCAAAACUUUUUUGAUGCCCUGGGUUUUCGGAACUCUAAAAGUUGUGGUUUGGACUCUUGAUUCAAAGUAAGUGUUUUUGAGAAUACGUUGGUUUAAAGGAAAAGUAACUCUGAUAACAAACACCCUUUCUCUUGGAGAGUUGGCAGCCUUUCUCUACGUAACUGGCAGUGUGCUUUCUCAAUCAUUUUAUUGCUACGGGCGUAAGACAUGAUUGCUCGGUUAAAGGAGAUAUUCAUUUUAUUUGAGAAAGGCCUUCGUUCUUGAUUUGGGAGCCAAUUUAAUGAACUUCAGUAAAAGUGGGCGAAUUCAUUGACUCGCAAAUGAGAGUGCUUUGGUUUAUUGUUUCAAAAUAAAUGUACUUUGACUCCUAGGCAACGGUUUUUUAAAUUUCUCGGGAAAAAGUAAAAUUCAACCCGUCGCUCGGCCAGUUGGAGCUCAAAAAAAGCAUGCAUGUAUGCUGAAUUUGUCUUGGUUCUAAUCAUUGUUCUAAUGUAGGUCUUCAAAAAAUUGACCGAGAAAACUAUUUGAGAGAACCAAACCUUCGAAGUCUAUCGGACCCAAAGUGUAGUAGUCUAACCAAACUUCAGACCUUGUGGGAUCUUUUCUCUGUUUUCCUUUUUUUUUUUAAAGCAAUAUCUGUGGUUAAAAGAGAUUGGUACGUUUAACAUGCAAGGCAACUACGGAGCCUGGCGUAACCGCGUCAAUAUUAUGUUGCUGACUUUUCUUUGCUGUAGGUACUUAGUGGGAAACUUGUUUAAGCGGAAAGAACGGAGUUUGUUCCAGUGGCUAUCUACACAAACAACGUGUGCUACGCGGAAUGUGAGUAUUAUGUUACCCUGGAUUGUCUUGAAAAUAUUUCUCUCGCUUUUACUUUGUUUAAGAAACAUUUGUAGUUGUACAAAAUUAACGUUUAGAACAUGCGAGACGGUUAAAAAGCUACAGAUAACAGGGUAUGCUCAUUUUGCCAGCCUUUCCUUGGUGCAGCAAAUUGGAGCGAGGGUGAAGCCUUCCUAAGUGUAGAGCUACAGAUUGAAGGUUUUUGGACCCUACUUUAUUUAAUUUAAUAGUGGAACUUAUCCUUCUUGGAAAAUAGUAAAAGAGGCAAUCGGACCUGCUUUGUUGUUGUUUACUAGAGACGUGUUACUGAAAGGAACAAAUGAGGUUUCUUCCCAUUGCUGGUUGUGCAGGUGACGAGUGCGGCUGCGUGGCUUCUGAGUGUGAUUUUACUCCGUGUACAUUAUCAGGGAAUGGAGUUUUUACUCUUACCGAGUUUUAUUUUAUAGGGUUGUCGUCCCCGUAUUUGUAUCUGCAAUUUGUGUAGUGUUGGAACGGAAGUUUAUGGCUUGAACUUCCAUUUUGGUGGAUAUUCAACUUGGGAAAUAAGUCAUUUAGCGUGGUCCAGUUCCAGUGGAGUUCAUAGCAACCAUGUUGGCUCUUAACAAGCGGACUGAUCCGUUGAAUUACUUGCAAAUUUUGUGCUUGACUAGGGAUCUUUUGUUGAUAAAUAGAUCUUCCUAAGUGUUGGUUUGUAGUUAAUUUGAUUUUUUACCCACAAGUAGUCUUGUUCUUUUUAUCUUCGGUAUUAAACCCCUUGUUUCCUUGGAGAAGCAGCUGUUUUUGUUUCUAUUCGUGUCGUUUUGUUUACUUAGGCUCCUGUACAGUUUGCAAUUUUUUUUUGGGGCUUCAAAUGAUGAUCCAAUGUAGUGGUAAUUCGUACUGUUUCUGUUGCAAAAUGAGGAGUCAGUAUUCUGCAUAUUAGCAAAUGAUUAUUUAUACUUUGUGAUGCUCUUGGAAGUCCUUUAACCAUGGCUUGAUCCUUGUUCGUGUCUCUCUGAUUUGUGGGCGCGGCUAAAUGAUAUCCUUGGUGCAGGUGAAGUUUGUGAUUGUUAUUUGAAGAGGUACCCAAUAUCUGGCCAUUCUUCGCUGUUGUUUUCUUUCUUGCUACAUGUCAUUUUCACAGGUGCAGCUAUUUUUAUUCCAUAUUCGUCUUAUUGUUGGGCAGUGAUGCGGAGAUUGUGGCGGGGGAAGUGAUGCGGAGGGUAAAGAGAAGGAAGCUGAGAAGGUUGGUGUGGAAUAUCAUCAUCAGCCAAAACCAGGUGAUUUUGUGGUUUCUGGCAACGAAAAUAAGCUCGGUGUGAAUAUUGGAUCAGAAUUGUUGGGCACCAGGUUGACAAAGGGGGUUCUGCCCCAGGGAGAUGUGAUUUGAAAAAUGAUGCAGAGGAGGAGUUCGUGGUUUGUGGGAAGAUGAGAAUUGUCAAGGACUGGGAAGGCCAGUUGUGGAGACUGGGAACUGUCCUUUUUGCUGAGGUUCUUGGCAGAACCCUAACCGGUGAAGCUGUACAGGUGCUUGGUGGAGCAGACAACUCGCCACGCACCCGUCUGUGUGGAUUUGUCAGAGAAGGAAUAGAAAUUGAAAGGAAAAUUUGUAAGUAUUAUUUACGAGGAUUAAGAGAAUAAAUAAUUUAAAAUUAGAUAACAGUUUAAAAAAUUUUAAUAGAAUAUAUUUGUAGAUAUAAAUUUUUUUUAAUAAUACGCGUAUUAUUUAAUAAAUUUUUUAGAAAAAAGAAUUAUUAAAAAUUGUAUUGUAAUUAAGAGUGUUUAUUUUAUUGUGGUUUUUUAUUAUAAUAUUUGUAUUUAGAAAAAAUAUUUUUGUCGUUGGGUGAGUAAAAUAUAAAAUGUUUUUGAUAAUAGUUAAAUUGAAAAUUUAUUUUUUUAUAAAUUUAAAAUAAAAAAUUACAAAAGUAACAUGAAUUUUUAUUAAAAAUAAAUGUUAUUAUUAUUGUAUAAAUAAUAACAUAUUUUCACAAUUAUUUAUAAAAAUAUUUUUAAUGGAAAACUCAGUAAGGCAAUAAAAAAAAUAUUAUCUUUUUAAUUUUCUCUCUCUGCCGCUCUUCAUCUUCGGUCUCUGGUUUUCCUUUUUUCUACCCGAGGUUCCGCGUGUUUAUAAAGCACGUAGGUUGCGUCGCGGAGACGCAGCUCAGCUCCUCUAUAAAAGUGCUGAGACUUUCUUUCCUCCUUCCGCCUCUGCUGUCUCCUGAUCCGGUAAGGUUUUCUUCUGAUUGCCCAUUAGAUCUGGUCCCGCUCCGAUCUUCUAGAGAUUGGAGGCGGUCUUCAUUCUCUCUGAACGGAAGAGUGCAGAAAAUAGGGCUCUUCUGCUUCCGAGUCUUCUCUCUUGUGGCGAUUUAGAGGUUGCGUCACGGAGACGCAGCUCAGCUCCUCUAUAAAAGCGCUGAGACUCUCUUUCCUCCUUCCGCCUCUGCCGUCUCCUGAUCCGGUAAGGUUUUCUUUUUGAUUGCCCAUUAGAUCUGGUCCCGCUCCGAUCUUCUAGAGAUUGGAGGCGGUCUUCAUUCUCUCUGAACAGAAGAGUGCAGAAAAUAGGGCUCUUCUACUUCGGAGUCUUCUCUUUUGCGGCGAUUUAGAGGUUGCGUCGCGGAGAGGCAGCUCAGCUCCUCUAUAAAAGCGCUGAGACUCUCUUUCCCCCUUCCGCCUCUUCUGUCUCCUGAUCCGGUAAGGUUUUCUUUCGAUUGCCCAUUAGAUCUGGUCCCGCUCCGAUCUUCUAGAGAUUGGAGGCGGUCUUCAUUUUUUCUGAACGGAAGAGUGCAGAAAUUGGGGCUCUUCUACUUCCGAGUCUUCUCUCUUGCGGCGAUUUAGAGGUUGCGUCACGGAGACGCAGCUCAGCUCCUCUAUAAAAGCGCUGAGACUCUCUUUCCUCCUUCCGCCUCUGCCGUCUCCUGAUCCGCUAAGGUUUUCUUUUUGAUUGCCCAUUAGAUCUGGUCCCGCUCCGAUCUUCUAGAGAUUGGAGGCGGUCUUCAUUCUCUCUGAACGGAAGAGUGCAGAAAAUAGGGCUCUUCUACUUCCGAGUCUUCUCUCUUGCGGCGAUUUAGAGGUUGCGUCACGGAGACGCAGCUCAGCUCCUCUAUAAAAGCGCUGAGACUCUCUUUCCUCCUUCCGCCUCUGCCGUCUCCUGAUCCGCUAAGGUUUUCUUUUUGAUUGCCCAUUAGAUCUGGUCCCGCUCCGAUCUUCUAGAGAUUGGAGGCGGUCUUCAUUCUCUCUGAACGGAAGAGUGCAGAAAAUGGGGCUCUUCUACUCCUGAGUCUUCUCUCUUGUGGCGAUUUAGGGUUUUCCUCAGCUUCUUCUAGGUUCUAAUCGGUGAAGAGAGACGGAAGAACAGAGUUGAAGAGGGUAGGUGAAAGGAAGAGACAAUAAUUUGUAAGAGGUAUGUAUGUGUUAAUUUCUCUUAUGGAUUUGUGAGGAAUGUAUGCCUAAACGAUAAAGAGUUCCACCCGGAAAGUUUUCUGUGUUGUUCACAGUUUUGUCACCGAAGCACUAAAAUAUUUUACAAAGAGGAAAAACUCUCUCAGUGUUACGUUUAUUACCCGUUAUUGUUGAUUUACUGUGCGAUGUUCGUGGGAGCUGUAUCGAUGUGUCUUGAUCCCUCUUGUUUUUCCCUGAUUUACAGGGACCACAGUCUGACAAUAUUGUAAUCCUCGUUGAGUAAGGGUAUGGAUUGCUGGUUCAAGAGGGUAUGCAAUAUCUGUUUACACUCACACCUCUUGGUGCGGGUUCAAGAGGUAUGCUUGCCUCGAACAUGUGGUUGAACGGUAUCUUGGCCCAUUUUGAUGCUUUGAAAUGUUUAAUUUAAAUUUUACUACAUCCCUUCAGGGGUCAUAAAAUGAAGGGUAAAUGCAAAAAUAAAACCAAAUAUAAGGUGGAGGUUUUUAGAUUUUCGACUGAAUCACAAUUGAGUUGUUGGGUUUAACAAAAUUAUAAUUCAAUUUAGCCAAGUGUGAUCGGCUGAAAAUGCUAAAUUACCCUCAGCCUGCUGUGUAAUUGUUUCAGUAUUACUCUGUUGGGCUCUUAUAAAGCAAUGGAUCCAAAUGUUGC